GAAGUAGAAAGGUUGUUUCCGAUAGGCCCCCGGCUCAAGACAAGUCCACACCUAGUUUGAGUUUUCUACCCAAACUAUCACAAAUUAUUUAUCAAAAUAUACCUCAACUAUCAACUAUUCACUCCUUUUCUAGCUAAAAUAUUACCAUCGUUUAGGUAGGAAACGUGAACAAUUCAUAGUUUGGACAGGACACUCACACACAUAUCACGUGUACGCAUUUUCUACCUUAACUAUCAAAAUACACCUCAACUAUCACUUAUUCACAUUUUUUCUAGCUGAAAUAUAGCCACCGUUCAGGUAGGAACAACACACUCACACACAUACCACGCGUACGAGUAUUCUACCUGAACUAUUACCAAUUAUUUAUCAAAAUACACCUCAAAUCACUUAUUCACUUUUUUCUAGCCGAAACAUUACCAUCGUUCAGGUAGGAACAGCACACUCACACACCUAUCACCAGUACGAGUUUUCUACCUGAACUAUCACCAAUUAUUUAUCAAAAUACACCUCAACUAUCAAUUAUUCACUUUUUCUAGCUAAAAUAUUAAUCCUACCAUCGUUUAGUUAGGAAACGUGAACAGUUGAUAGUUCAGACAGGACACUCACAUACCUAUCACGUGUACGAGCUUAUUACACGAACUAUCACUGAUUAUUUAUUAAAAUACACCUCAACUAUCAACUAUUCACUUUUUUAGCUGUUCAGGCAGGAACAGCACACUCACACACCUAUCACCAGUACGAGUUUUCCACCUGAACUAUCACAAAUUAUUCAUCAAAAUACACCUCAACUAUCAAUUAUUCAUUCUUUUUCUAGCUAAAAUAUUACUCCUACCAUCGUUUAGGUAGGAAACGUGAACAGUUGAUAGUUCAGACAAGACACUCACAUACCUAUCACGUGUACGAGUUUAUUAACUGAAGCUAUCACUGAUUAUUUAUCAAAAUACACUUCAACUAUCAACUAUUCACUUUUUUAGCUGAAAUAUUACCAUCGUUCAGUAGAAAACUCGCACACCAGCUUAUUACCUAAACUAUCACUGAUUAGUUAUCAAAAUACUCCUCAACUAUCAACUAUUCACUUUUUUAGCUGAAAUAUUACCAUCGUUCAGGUAGAAAACUCACACACCUAAUAGUUUUAGUUUAGUUCAGCUAUGAAACUCAAGAAACCGAGAUACUUGGAAGAUAAAAUCAUUUCAAAGCAAAAUAGAGAAGUGGGUGUAUUAGAUAUUUACAGAUAAUGGAGCAAGACGAUGAGGGCAUUUAUCAUCAAGCACAACCCACUGAAACCCAGAUUUAUCAAACCAAAUAACCAUAUCCCUAUUAAGUAACUGAAAUGGUGUAGGCAAACUUGGAUCAAUAUCUUCACCAAGCGAAACUGUAUACCAAUUAUCCCUCCAUGAAAACUCCGAAUACGAAGACGAAUCUUGUUCAUCAUCUACUGUAUCACGUGUACGAGUUUAUUACCUAAACUACCAACAAUUAUUUAUCAAAAUACACCUCAAUUAUUCACUCUUUUUCUAGCUAAAAUAUUACCAUCGUUUAGGUAGGAAACGUGUACAGUUGAUAGUUCAUACAGUUCAGACACGACACUCACACACCUAUCAGAGGUACGAAUUUACUGUCUCAUCGAUCAACAAUUAUUUAUCAAAAUACACCUCAAUUAUUAACAUCGUUUAGGUAGGAAACGUGAACAGUUGAUAGUUGAGACAGUUCAGACAGGACACUCACACACCUAUCACGUGUACGAGUUCAUUACCUGAACUAUCACCAAUUAUUUAUCAAAAUACACCUCAAUUAACAAUUAUUUAUCAAAAUACACCUCAAUUAUUAACAUCGUUUAGGUAGGAAACAUGAACAGUUGAUAGUUGAGACAGUUCAGACAGGACACUCACACACCUAUCACGUGUACGAGUUCAUUACCUGAACUAUCACCAAUUAUUUAUCAAAAUACAACUCAAUUAUUCACUCUUUUUCAAGCUGAAAUAUUACCAUCGUUCAGGUAGGAACAACACACUCACACACCUAUCACGUGUACGAGUUUUCUACCUGAAGUAUCACCAAUAAUUUAUUAAAAAUACACCUCAACCAUCAAUUAUUCACUUCUUCAGCUGAAAUAUUACCAUCGUUCAGGUAGGAAACUCGCACACCUGAAACUCAAGAAAACCAAGAUACUUGGAAGAUAAAAAUCAUUUCAAAGCAAAAUAGAGAAGUGGGGUGUAUUAGAUAUUUACAGAUAGUGGAGCAAGACGAUGAGGGCAUUUAUCAUCAAGAACAACCCACUGAGACCCAGAUUUAUCAAACCAGAUAACCAUAUCCCUAUUCAGUAGCUGAAAUGGUGUAGGCAAACUUGGAUCAAGAUCCUCAACAAGCGAAACUGGAUACCAAUUAUCCCUCCAUGAAAACUUCGAAUAUGAAGACAAAUCUUGUUCAUCAUCUUGUAUAACAGUACUAGUAGAUGAUUCUUGUUCUUCAAUAGGUGGUGUUGUUGGAGGUGCAGAUACUCUAAGUGGUAUAAUUGGCCUGUCUUUUCUUGUUUUGAGUUGAAGAAAAUUGUGGGGUUUGGUGAUUGGGAGUGAAGAAUGAACGGAAGAAGAAAUUGAAAGAGUUGGUAAUGGUGAGAAUACUAACAUACAAGAAGAAGAAGAAGCCAUUGAGUUGAUUCUUAUUUUUUUUGUUUUUGAGUUACUAAAACGUAUAAUAUAUAUAUAUAUAUAUAUAUAUUCAAGAUUUUCAAUGGAAGAAGGCUUUGCGUGUAAGAUAUGAACAAUGUGUUGAAUUAUGUUUGGUCUGUUUUUUUACGGUGUGCGGCGGAUGGGGAUGCUCCUUCCUUAAUCAGAAGAGAUUUCGGAUUUGAGUUCUGGGUAUGAAAAAAUUCUUGGUAAAAAGCGUUUCUCCUCGAAUGGGGUCCUAUGCAGCGCGAAUUUGGAUUAGUCGGACUCCAAUGUGAGUACCGACUAAUUAUGUAUCAUUAUUUUCUUUUUGGUCCGUCCCAAAAAAAUGUCGUCUUUACUUAUUUGAUAAAUUUUUAAAGACACAAUUAUAAUUUUACCCUUAGUUGUCUCACUUGAUUUUAAAAAUUAUUAUUCUUUUUUUUAUUUGUCUUUUCAAUUAAAAGUGGUUUCACUUGAAUUUAACUACUAUUAUUCUUUUCUUUAAGAAGGGUAAUUUUAUAACUUUAACAAAGUCGAUACUUAUUUCUUAAAUAUCGUCUCCAAUCAAAUAACCACACAUAAUUUGGGACGGAGGUAGUAUAUGUUUGUAAAGAGGGUCCAGAAAAUAAAAGCUUUUUAUUUUUAUUUUUCAUCCGUAGCGCUUCCUACCAAAAAUUUUUCAUACUCAGACUCCUAUCAAGACAAUUAAGGAGGAGGAACCCAUUUAUUUUUACUCUUUAUUAAAUUACAAAUAAUUCUUUAUUUUGCAAUUUCAGAUACAUAAUUAACAUUCGAAUGCAUAAUUUUAAAAUAGACAUAAAUAAUAGCAUUCACAUACAGAAUUUUGAAAUAAAGAUACAUAAUUUUGAACUUUUAAAAAUAUAGCAAUUAAUUACUUCAUUUUUUUUCUCGAAAACAUUAUUAGCAUCCAGAUAUAUAAUUUUGAUUACCAAUAUACAUCAAUUUCUGAAAUUAUGUAGUUGAGAUACAUAAUACAUUAAUUAGACCAGAGAGAGAUAUUUGGAAAUUUAUGGUUAAUAGAUGUUUUUAGAAACAAAAAAAGAUUUAGGAAAUUAAUAGAAAAGGUAUGAAUUUUAUGUAAUUUAGUAGAGAUAAACUGUGAUGUUAUGUAAUUUUUUAAAAUUUCUUUCGAUACGAGGGAUAACGGAUAAAUAAUACCAAAAUUAGUUUUAGUAUGACUUAUUUUAUACAGAGAUAAAACUACAAAAUAACUUAAUGAGAAAAUGGUUUAUUACCCUCCCAACCUUUAGUCGAAAUCUCAACUACACACUCAACUUUUAAAGGUGACCUAUUACCCCCUAAACUUAUUUUUACCGAAUUUAUUACCCUCCCAGUUGCUGACGUGUCAACGGACGUGACUACACCGCCCAUGACCGCGUCAGUUGAGUCCAUUUCACUUAAAAUUCUUUAUUUUUUGAUUGCCACAUCAUGUCUUCAUCUUCUUUUUUCAAAACAAAAAACUCAUUAAUGAAAUUCUUCAUCUUUCUUAUCUCCAAAUUUUGAUUAAUGGUGUUUUUUGAUAAUUUGAAAAAUGUUAUUACCGAAACCAAGAAACACUUGAACUAAGGAAACAAUAAGAUUUCUCCGAUUAAUGAAUUCUUGAAUGAGGAAUAUGAGGAAUUCCGAUUCAAAAAACUUGCAAAAAUUCAAGAAUUUUGAUUUCCUCUCCUUUUGCUCAAGAUCGCCAUUAAUGGCGAGUUCAAAGCUUUGAAUUUUCACAAUGCCAUAUAUAAUUUCCAACAAAACCCACGUACAAUUUUCAACUCAUUUCUCCAAUUUUCUCUAUUUUUGCUCAAGAUCCGCCAUUAAUGACAAGCUCAAAGCUUUAAAUUUACACAAUGUGGGAGAAUUCGCCCUUAAUAGCGAUCUUGAGCAAGAAGAGAUGAAAAGCUUUGAGGAGCAUUUAUCCGUCAUUAAUGGGUUGAAGAAGAACAUACGUGUGUAUGUGUGAGGUACAUUUACACACUCAUUUUCUAUUUUUGACCCAAGAAGAUGAAGAAAAUGGAGCAAAAUGGAAGAAAAAAAGAAAAUAAUAAUGUCAAAUAAUUAAUUUUUUUAGAGUAAAAAAAAAAUGAUGUGACAUGAUGUGGCAGCGCGUGCAUCACACCACAUGCCCAAAUGACUAGUUGUUGGUUUUCAAGAGGGUAAUAAUUUCACUUUAAAAUAGUUCAAGGGCGUAAUAAUUUCACUAUAAAAUAGUUCAGGGUACCUCAGCAAAGUGUAAGUGUGUAGUUGAGAUUUGAGGUAAAGGUUGGAAGCUUUUGACCAUUUUCUCUAACUUAAUUGAAGUGUUGUUCUUAUCGAUUCCAAAAUAAUUAAUUAAUCAUGUGAAAUAACUUAUUUCCCAACGAAACGAGCCCACGGGAAGAGACAAAUGUUUAUAACUAAUGAAGUAAUUUAAGAUUAACAGUUGUAUGGAGUAAGAAACUUUAAUACUGUAGUCAAAAAUUAAAGUAAGAAUCAUAUCACUUAAUUAAUUUUAAAUAAGCGUUGAAAUAUAUAUUUCUUUUUCCAAUUUAUGUUUUUAUUCCUUAUUUAAGAAGAUGUUAAGGAAUAUGGUAAAGGAAAUCUCUAAUAUAUUUUGGACAGUAGUGGAGUCAAGAUCAUCACUAAGAAAAUUCACAAGUAAACGUACGAACUAAUCGAAGGAAUUCAACAUCUACUAUAUAUACAUAAAAAAUAAUUUUUAUUUAUAUAUAGAGAGAAUAUAAUUUUCUGCCAAAGCGAAUUCGGAUGAACCUGGCCCAAGGGUAGCUCUAACCCCUGGUUUUGGACAAACAGGAAGAAGAAAAUGAGCUUGAAAUGUCAUUUAAAGAAGUCAUUUUUCCAACAUUCUCACUAAUAAGAAAGUCAUUUUCAAAGUAUGGAAAAAUAUGAAAACACAACCUUAGUAGUAGUAAUUUUGUUCUUUGCUUUUCUUUUAUGGAAAAAUAAAUUUAGCUUCAAUAUAAAGGUUGUAUUCCCAUCAAUAUUUUGAGAAAAAAUCAAUUUUCCCCCCUCAUUUUCAAACCUCUUAUUCAAAAUUCUAGCUCAAUGGAUGAAGCAUAUCACACAAAAACCGAACCGACCAAUAAAUCGAACCGAUAAAAAUGUUAUUGAUUUAUUGCUAUUGAGUUAACGGUUUGUUAAUGAUUUUAUAAAAAAAAUUUAUUAGGUUAUUGAUUCGGUUUGAUUUUUUCUUAUUGGGUAGACCGAUAACCCAAUAAGAAUAUAUAUAUGACUUAUUAUAUAUUUCUCUUUAAUUUCUACCAAUUAACAAACCUAUUAUUCCAAUUAUACAAACUCUUAAUUUCUUCUAACAACAUUUAGUUCAAACUUGAAGAUUCUUGUAAAUUAAAACACAUUACGUAGGAUUUUUAAUUGAAACUAAGAUGUUAAUUACUACUAUUUUUAUUUUAUGAGUAUUUUCUUAUCGGUUAAACCGAAAAUCGAACCGUUAAGAACUAAAAAUCGAUGAACUGAAAACCGAUAAAAAAUAUCUUAUUGAUUUGGUUAUUGGUUUAACAUAUUUAAAAACCGAUAAAUCGAACCGAUAAUAUAUAAAAUCGAACCGAACCGACCGAUGCACACCCAUUAUUACAUAUAGUUGUUUCUGACCAAAAAAUUCACUGAUAAGCAACAUCAAGUUAUAUGUCUGAAAGAAUAUUAGAAAAGCGUCAAUCUUUCGCUGCUACUUUCUUUUUUAUAACAGUAGCGUCCAGGCCAGACUGCUCAGCGACCACUCUCAAACAUGCAAAUUUUCUCCGAGAGUGUAACACGGUUUCAAUAACGAUGGUGUCCAGGUCAGCUAGGGCGCUCCUCGAUCACUCAAACAUACAAAUCUUCUAAAGCAAACUAAUUUCUAACCAAGAAAGAUGUUAUUUCUUAGUGUAUGUUUGGUGAUCAGGUCCAAUAUCACGCGAUCCUGUGUUGAUGUAAGGACCGCGAAAGGUCGCUUGGGGUGGCAACGCCUUUGAUGAAUCGAUGACUGGAGUUGAUCUUGAUGAUCUUGACCUGAAUUGCAACAAUCACAACUUUCAAUUAAGCAAAAACUAUGAAAGAACACAACUUUAUUUUUUGACAGACAAUGAAGUUCUGCUUACGCCAUGUAAAACGGAAAGGAUAAGCCAGCAGCUGCAAAGACUAGCAAGCCUGUGGCAACAAUAGCAUUGCGCUUGCGAGACAUCAAGCGAGAUAAAGCAGGCGGUUUCAGUAUCUAACAAAAGGAAGAGAAAUAAGCGAGAGCCAGAAAAUAGAUAUAUGCAGCAUCUUUAUUAGAGAAUCUUCCUCGAACCAAAUAUGAUUUCGACGCAAAAGACUAUUUAUCCAGAUAACCAAAAGAAUUCAUGUCUAUACAUAACAGUUUCAAAGUUUGCUUGAACAAUAUUCACACGAGUUAAGAGACCCCAAAGACGACAACAACGACAACAUAGCCAAGUGGGGUCUUAGGAAAUUAGGAUGUACACGGACCUUACAUCUCUGCCUUUGUAGGAUAGAGAGGUUAUUUCCGAUAGACCCUUGGCUCAAAACAAAGGUAACUGAUGCAGGAAAGUAGAAGAAAAAAGCGAACAAAAUAGCAAUGUACAAAACGGCAUGAAUAAUAGGAAUACAUUCAGGCACACCUUCAAAGUAUCUUACUUCUAUACGUAACAGUUCAAAGUUUGCUUGAACAAUAUUCACAGGAGUUAAGAGACCUCAAAGACAACAACAACGACGACAAGAUAGCCAGUGUAAUCCCAAAAAUGGGGUCUAGGGAGGUUAGGAUGUACACAGACCUUAGGAUAGAGAGGCUAUUUCCGAUAGACCCUUAGCUCAAAGGAAAGGUAACUGAUGCAGGAAAGUAAGAAGAAAAAGAGGAAAAAGAUAGCAAUGUACAAAACCGGUGUGAAUAAUAGGAUUUCGUUCAGGUACACCUUCAACUAUCUUACUGCUACACACAAUAGUUCAAAGGUCGCUCAAACAAUAUCUAUAUAGGUUAAGAGGUAUCCAAGAUGGCAUGAAUGAUAACAUUGCAUUAAGAACACUUGCAACGUAUCAUGCUGCUAAGUGAUGCAGGGGACCGAGGCUUCCUCUUUUGUACUAAUGACAACAAUGAUUUUAUUUCAUAAUCAGUUGGAUUGUGACCGAUUGAGUUUUAUAUUCGGACUUUUUUAUCAAUUUAUUGAAUUCAAAUUACAGCUUCAAAGAAAGAUUUUCAAAUGCCACAUUUAACGCUGAUAUCACAAGACAAGACAGAACAGAAAAAUCCUUUGACUGUACUCUUUUCACUUAAAACUAUGGGUACAAAUACUAAAAUAAAUGAUGUUCUUUAAUAUACCUUUGUUUUGUCAAAGAUAUGAUUAGUAGAUAACAUCUAUAUAUCUGGAAACUGACAAAUUUGGAUCCACUAUAACUCCUAUUUGUGAUGGAAUUAUUAACUAAGCUAUUAGAAAAGUCUUCCAACGCACCAAAGAAUGUGGCCUAGCGGCCAAUGAAGUUAUUGCGAACUUCGUAGACUAGUGUCAAAUCCCAACAGAGACAAAAAACUCUAGGUGUUUUUUCCAUCUACUAAACCUAGGUUAGCAAACUCAACUAAUAUACCUAUACAACAACAACAAACCCAGUAUAUUCCCACAUAGUGGGGUCUGGGGAGGUUAAAAUGUACGAAGUCCAUACCACUACCCUCGAAGGAGUAGAGAGGCUGUUUCCGAUAGACCCCCGUCUCAAGACAAAAGACCAUAGAUCAACAGUCGUGCAACAUGAUAAAGAACAAAGAAACAACAUCCACAAAAAUAAAGUAUAAUUAACCAAAAGGCAAGCAAUAUGCUAAAGUAACAAAAGAACCAACAUUCACCAAAAAACAGUAUAAUUAACAACCCAAGGACCCCCUCCCCCAUAACUGGAACUCCCAACCAAGCU
rnacentral:lncRNA from 1 species